GAGUAUAUAUCCAGAAGUGGAAUUGCUGGAUCAUAUGGUAAUUCUAUUUUUUUUUUGGAGGAUAGUCAUAACUUUUAAAUACAUUGAAUACAGAGUAUCAUGAAAUUUCUAUACUUAAUAAUAAAGAAGCCACAAGGACAAUUUACACAUUUCAAGUGAGGUCAUCUUUUUCUUCAGUUAAACAGAGCCUAUGGAGCAACUCCUUGCUCUCAGUUUCUGAGACCGUCUUCUCAGUGAACCCAUGCACAGUCCUCAUUGGGACCCAUGUAAACACUUCCAACAUGGGCCGGUCUGCAGGACAUAGUCCAGGCAGAGACAGCGAAGUGUAAAAACCAAUAUAACAGAUGACAAAAACAUUAAUCAAAGCUGCAAGAUCCAGCAAGGUACAAAUUCCAGAGAGAUUUUAUUAAUAGGAAGGAGGAAAAUUUUAGACACUGGCCCAGAUAUGCUAACUUAGGAGGAACUUGCUCUGGCUCUGAGGAGGUUGAACGUAAGUCUGUAUGUUGUACUGGAUACGUUUUCUUAAUCAAGGCAACAGGGAGCACAAUGUGUCAGAAACUGGGCCAGCCUUUUUUGUUGUUUCUUCUUACCCUCUCCUCUCAUAUUGGAGAUUAAGUGAGUGGAGUGCAAGAAGAGUGGGUUUUCCUUCCUUUUCUGUGGGGCCUGACACAGUGUUCUGAAAACCACAGAUAUUUCAUUAAAGCUGAGCCAGCUGUGUCGGUGGGAGCAUAUUCACUAUGUUGGUUUACAAUCAGAGUCACAGAGUAAGCAAAACAUCGCUGGUAGGACUAGCUUUUCAUACUGCAUCUUAAUUCAAGGGCAUUUUAGUCUCCUUUUUUCUCACUUUUAAUUCCUUUCUGCUGACUUAACUUCCUUAGGUCCUCAUCUUCAUUUUUAUUUUCAUUUCUACAUCUACUCUAUCGACUUAUGUUGGGAUUUGUCUUCAAAUCUUUUAAAUUCCAUAUUUCUGAUCUAUUCUCCAUGUGCUUGUCACAGGAGACUUUAAACAAAUAACAUUUAAUUUUAAAACACAAUGCCAAUACUUUAUCCACUGACUUAACAGCAUUUUCUAACAUAACUGUUCAUUAUUCACUUUACCCAACUUUGUCCUUCCCUUGGCUCCCCUCUCUCCUGGCAAAGCAUUUUGUCAAUGUGCAGAUGCAAUCUGACAACUGUGCAUUAUCAGCAUGUGGGUGGAAGGAGAGUGACUCAUUGGCCCAUGAACAGUGAGUUCUGAAAAACUAGAUGCGUGGUGCACAGGUGGGUGUUGAAUCGACAUUAUUGGAAAAUGAUUCAAUCUGAUUAAUUGAUGUACAAAGUAGAGUCAACCAUCCACACUUAUUAAUCACCUGCUUGAGAUGAGGCAAGCAAUGUGACAAGCUCUUGGGAUACGGAAAACAUAUAAAUGCCUCUAACAUCUUAGUAUGUUCAUGUUAUCAAGGAGUGUGUGCACUAAAAAGCAGUUUUAAUCAUUCUUUGCACCAUCAGAAACCUUGAGGUUAUAGUUGAAGGAGUUUGACUAUAAUAUGGUUCCCCAGCAAAAUCAGUAAUUCUGUAGAUCCUAAACCAAAAUGCACAACCACAAAGAGCCAGUAUGUGGAUAUUACCAAGAAAUUCCACUAAUUUGACAGUUUGCUACAUCACAUACUCCUUGGUAAAGGCAGAAGGUGCCUGAAAAGU
rnacentral:lncRNA from 1 species